CUCCUAUGUAAAAUCAUCUGAUGAUAAU
rnacentral:piRNA from 1 species